rnacentral:misc_RNA from 1 species
UAUGAGUGGAUUGUGUUGCCCCAAA